rnacentral:rRNA from 1 species
AAUGGGGGCAACCCUGAUCCAGCGACACCGCGUGAAGGAUGAAGGUCUUCGGAUUGUAAACUUCUUUUAUCUGGGACUAAGAUACCUGUGGAAACACGGGGAGUGAAUGUACCAGAGGAAUAAGCCACGGCUAACUUCGUGCCAGCAGCCGCGGUAAUACGAAGGUGGCAAGCGUUACUCGGAAUUACUAGGCGUAAAGGGCAGGUAGGUGGUUUGGUAAGUCUGUUGUGAAAGCUCCCGGCUUAACUGGGAGAGGUCAAUAGAUACUGCCGGACUUGAGUGUAGGAGAGGGUACUGGAAUUCCCGGUGUAGCGGUGAAAUGCGCAGAGAUCGGGAGGAACACCAAUGGCGAAAGCAGGUACCUGGACUAUUACUGACGCUAAGCUGCGAAAGCUAGGGGAGCAAACAGGAUUAGAUACCCUGGUAGUCCUAGCCGUAAACGAUGCACAUUAGACGUGAGGGGUAUCGACCCCCUUCGUGUCGACGCUAACGCAUUAAAUGUGCCGCCUGGGGAGUACG